UAAAAACAAACAGUAAAGGUAAAAUAAUUAUCACAUACAUGAACUCUAAUUAAACUCUGUUAGAAUAAUAAUCCAAACUUAAAUUUCAAUAUAUAUAAUUAGAGAUAAGUUUAAAUCUUUUAUGAUUGGUAUUGAUUUAAGAUUUAUACUUAGGAAUUAACCCUAAUAUUGCCCAGUGUAAUAGAGAGUAUAAUGAGGCCGCAUGAAUUAGUCUUCUAAUUAAUAAAGUAUUAAUUUAGUUUUCUUUCUCCUUCAAUAUUUCUUCUUCAUAUUACUUUGUUAUAUUUUAGAUCUAUAUUAUAUAAUCGAUUUCAACAAUUGGUACUAAAAAAAUCACGCUUCUAAAAAGUCAAAACUUUAUUUUAAUCCAAAAUCUACUCAUAUUGAACUCUUUGUUAGUUAAUUCGCGAAUUAUUAAAAAUUCUAAUUAAACGGUCCAUUUACGAAUUUUUUUCAAAAAAAAUAAAUUAUUCGCGAAUUUUUGGACUAGCCGAAUAAUUCGCAAAUUAUGCGCGAAUUAUUAAAAAUCUGAACAAAAAAUUUAUAAUUUUUAUAUUUAAAUAUAGAUUAUCUUAUAUUUUAUAUCUUAUAUUUUAUAUUGUAUACCGAAUAUAAUUUUUAAACCGAAUUUUUUAACGAAUUUAAAAAUUAGAAUAUAAAUUUUAUGCGUAAUAUAUUCAUAUCGAAUUUUUGUCGAAUCGGAAUUAACUAAAUAUGUUUGAACCAAAUA
rnacentral:lncRNA from 1 species